AAGUCGUAACAAGGUUUCCGUAGGUGAACCUGCGGAAGGAUCAUUAUUGAGUUUUAAGGAUAGAAUUUCCCCAAGAAAUUCUAUCUUACCUUACUCUUUAUCCUUUUGAUAUUUUAUUCUUAGUUGCUUUGGUAGUGUACUCUAAGUACCUGCCAGAGGGUUUACUAUAAACUAUUUUGUCUAACAGUUAGAAUUAUUAGUCUGAUAUUAUUGUUUUAAUAAUUUAAAACUUUCAACAACGGAUCUCUUGGUUCUG
rnacentral:misc_RNA from 1 species